AACGAACGCUGGCGGCAGGCUUAACACAUGCAAGUCGAACGCACCGCAAGGUGAGUGGCAGACGGGUGAGUAACACGUGGGGAUCUGCCCAAUGGUACGGAAUAGCUCCGGGAAACUGGAAUUAAUACCGUAUGUGCCCGCAAGGGGAAAGAUUUAUCGCCAUUGGAUGAACCCGCGUCGGAUUAGCUAGUUGGUGGGGUAAAGGCCCACCAAGGCGACGAUCCGUAGCUGGUCUGAGAGGAUGAUCAGCCACACUGGGACUGAGACACGGCCCAGACUCCUACGGGAGGCAGCAGUGGGGAAUAUUGGACAAUGGGCGCAAGCCUGAUCCAGCCAUGCCGCGUGAGUGAUGAAGGCCUUAGGGUUGUAAAGCUCUUUCGCCGACGAAGAUAAUGACGGUAGUCGGAGAAGAAGCCCCGGCUAACUUCGUGCCAGCCGCCGCGGUAAUAC
rnacentral:rRNA from 1 species